AUUGAACGCUGGCGGCAGGCCUAACACAUGCAAGUCGAGCGGAUGACGGGAGCUUGCUCCUUGAUUCAGCGGCGGACGGGUGAGUAAUGCCUAGGAAUCUGCCUGGUAGUGGGGGGCAACGUUUCGAAAGGAACGCUAAUACCGCAUACGUCCUACGGGAGAAAGCAGGGGACCUUCGGGCCUUGCGCUAUCAGAUGAGCCUAGGUCGGAUUAGCUAGUUGGUGGGGUAAUGGCUCACCAAGGCGACGAUCCGUAACUGGUCUGAGAGGAUGAUCAGUCACACUGGAACUGAGACACGGUCCAGACUCCUACGGGAGGCAGCAGUGGGGAAUAUUGGACAAUGGGCGAAAGCCUGAUCCAGCCAUGCCGCGUGUGUGAAGAAGGUCUUCGGAUUGUAAAGCACUUUAAGUUGGGAGGAAGGGCAGUAAGUUAAUACCUUGCUGUUUUGACGUUACCGACAGAAUAAGCACCGGCUAACUCUGUGCCAGCAGCCGCGGUAAUACAGAGGGUGCAAGCGUUAAUCGGAAUUACUGGGCGUAAAGCGCGCGUAGGUGGUUUGUUAAGUUGGAUGUGAAAGCCCCGGGCUCAACCUGGGAACUGCAUCCAAAACUGGCAAGCUAGAGUACGGUAGAGGGUGGUGGAAUUUCCUGUGUAGCGGUGAAAUGCGUAGAUAUAGGAAGGAACACCAGUGGCGAAGGCGACCACCUGGACUGAUACUGACACUGAGGUGCGAAAGCGUGGGGAGCAAA
rnacentral:rRNA from 1 species